rnacentral:tmRNA from 1 species
GGGGGCGACUGGUUUCGACGGGGAGUAUGAUGACAGUAGUAGCGGGUCGAGGUGCUGUGGCCUCGUUAAACUGCAGCAAGCACAUUAAGUGCCGAUAAUAAUUUAGCAUUAGCUGCUUAAUUUAAAGUAGCCGUCCAAUCCGUAUUUAACCUGGGAGUCCGGUGCGGGCGUCACUUAAACCAGGGUGCUCACUGGUCAAUUCUCGGAGACCGGUGCUAAGAUCAUCGAGAUAGCCGAAGCUUAGUUCGUCCGUAGACGGAGCCAAGGCGAAAUUUAAAAUGCGGUCUGCACCCGGAGAGACUCCUGUGGUCAUCUUUUCGGACGGGGGUUCGAUUCCCC